GGAUGAACGCUGGCGGCGUGCCUAAUCCAUGCAAGUCGAGCGAACAGACGAGGAGCUUGCUCCUCUGACGUUCGCGGCGGACGGGUGAGUAACACGUGGAUAACCUACCUAUAAGACUGGGAUAACUUCGGGAAACCGGAGCUAAUACCGGAUAAUAUAUUGAACCGCAUGGUUCAAUAGUGAAAGACGGUUUUGCUGUCACUUAUAGAUGGAUCCGCGCCGCAUUAGCUAGUUGGUAAGGUAACGGCUUACCAAGGCAACGAUGCGUAGCCGACCUGAGAGGGUGAACAGCGACACGGGCAACGAGACAGGGUCCAGACUCAUAGGGGAGGCAGCAGUAGAGGAGCUGCCGCUAGAGGUGAAAGCCUGUCGGAGAAACGUGGCGUGAGAGAUGAAGGUGACCGGAACGUAAAACGAUGUUAUGAAGGAAGAACAAAGGUGCUAGUAACAAUGCACGUCUUGACGGUACCUAAGGAGAAAGGCACGGCUUACUACGUG
rnacentral:rRNA from 1 species